rnacentral:tRNA from 10 species
GCACCCGUAGCUCAGCUGGAUAGAGCACCAGACUACGAAUCUGGGGGUCAGGAGUUCGAAUCUCUUCGGGUGCACCA